rnacentral:rRNA from 1 species
AUGGUAUAUGAGGCCAUCACCGAGGGGAGAUGGGCCAGUGAUAUCGGGCCAUCGCUGAACACGGAGGAAGCCUCGGAGUACUUGCACAUCUGGCCCACGGUCACGACAGUUCAACUGGACGUCCAACACGUGGACCGCAUCGCCUGGUCCUGGGAGAAGGACGACGCCUUGUUGGUCGUGGUCGAGCCAGCCUAUGCGGCUAAGUUUGCAACUCGGGAGGUGUCACCCACCGCGGCAUUCACAUGGCGCUCCCUGACCCCGCUCCAGUGCCGCUUCUUCGCAUGGCUUGCGAUCAUGAAUCACUACUAG